GGGAUUAUAGUUAAUUAUAACAUCUAAUUUGCAAUUAGAAAGUACUUAUGUUUUUCUCA
rnacentral:tRNA from 1 species